ensembl:snoRNA small nucleolar RNA SNORA2/SNORA34 family
GUGGCUCCAUCUGAGAAAAAUACUUAAGAAAUUACUAUCCAGUUUCAAGCAGGAGCCUAAAGAAAUGUCUUUCUAUGGUCUGUUGGCCAUUUCAGAACUUAGGAAAUGUAAUGGUCAAUUCAUUAGAAAGAAACAUCU